rnacentral:tRNA from 1 species
GAGCCCGUAGCUCAGUUGGUAGAGCAUCUGACUUUUAAUCAGGGGGUCGCGGGUUCGAAUCCCGCCGGGCUCA